rnacentral:misc_RNA from 1 species
UCAAACUUGGUCAUUUAGAGGAAGUAAAAGUCGUAACAAGGUUUCCGUAGGUGAACCUGCGGAAGGAUCAUUAGAAUAAAAGAAAGAUCGAUCCCGACGAAUGUGCGGGGGACGAUCGAAUCCACAUCCAUCCCCGUGUGCACUCAUCGACCGUUUGCUUUGGCAGGAAAAAAAAAAAAGAGGAGCCCUUCGAUCCCGAGGGGCGCCGGGAGGACACACACGCGUGUAGCCUCGGCCUGCCAGAGUUUUUUUUUUUGUCUCGCGCCCUUUUUUGUUUUGUUUACUUUGAUCGGACUGAACCUUCGUCUCGAUUGUGUUUGCAAUCGGUCGAAACGAAUACAACUUUCAACAACGGAUCUCUUGGCUCUCGCAUCGAUGAAGAACGCAGC